CGAAUAUUAUAAAAAAAUUCGAAAUGAAAUAAUAUAAAUAAUAUUAUAUAAAUAGAAGAUACUCUAAUAUAAAUAUAAAAUACAGUAACUAACUAAGAUCCCGUUAGUAGCUUAGCUUAAAAAAUUCCUAUGUACGCGGAAUUUUGGCUUUGUGAGCCCGCUUAGCUCAGAGGUUAGAGCAUCGCAUUUGUAAUGCGAUGGUCAUCGGUUCGAUUCCGAUAGCCGGCUU